UGUGUCCUACGGGAGGCAGCAGUAGGGAAUCUUCCACAAUGGACGAAAGUCUGAUGGAGCAACGCCGCGUGAGUGAAGAAGGGUUUCGGCUCGUAAAGCUCUGUUGGUAGUGAAGAAAGAUAGAGGUAGUAAAUGGCCUUUAUUUGACGGUAAUUACUUAGAAAGUCACGGCUAACUAAGUGCCAGCAGCCGCGGUAGUACGUAGGUGGCAAGCGUUGUCCGGAUUUAUUGGGCGUAAAGCGAGGGC
rnacentral:rRNA from 1 species